CUCUAAUUCAGAGUAAACAGCCUUUUGGGAGGGAGAACAAAGAGGAUGAAAAGAUCUGAUAUGGGAAGAACAAAGGAAGCUGGCCUUCUGUCUUGGUAUAAAAAAAAGAAAAGAAAUAAGUGGUCCUUGGAACAGCUCAAUUUUUAGGUGCUGAGGACAAAGAGAAGACACACAUAAGGAGUGAGACAGAGGGUCUAAACUGGAAGGACAGAGACAGAUGGACAGAGCAGGAGAGGGGAUGACCUGAAAAGACCAGUUUGAGAUAAGGAGAACAAAGGAAACUUUCUCCAGUGCCCAUGUGUUGAAGACUCUUCCCCAUCUUUUCUUCUAUUAGUGUAGUGCCCACCUCGACCAGCAAGGAAGACACAUCACCGUUGGAUUCUUCUCAACAGCCUUUAUUUCAGGAAAACCUCAUUCUUGAUGAGGGGGGCCCCGAGGGAAAAAAGGCACUCCCCCUAAAUACAAGAAAGGCUGUGGUUGUAAA